rnacentral:rRNA from 1 species
UACGUAGGGGGCUAGCGUUGUCCGGAAUCAUUGGGCGUAAAGAGCGUGUAGGCGGCCCGGUAAGUCCGCUGUAAAAGUCAAAGGCUCAACCUUUGAAUGUCAGUGGAUACUGCCGGGCUAGAGUCCGGAAGAGGCGAGUGGAACUCCUGGUGUAGCGGUGGAAUGCGCAGAUAUCAGGAGGAACACCAACGGCGAAGGCAGCUCGCUGGGACGGUACUGACGCUGAUGCGCGAAAGCUAGGGGAGCAAACAGG